UGGCGCCGGGUGCGUACGCGUGGGAAUCUGCCCCUUGGUUCGGAAUAACAGUUGGAAACGACUGCUAAUACCGGAUGAUGACGUAAGUCCAAAGAUUUAUCGCCGAGGGAUGAGCCCGCGUAGGAUUAGGUAGUUGGUGUGGUAAAGGCGCACCAAGCCGACGAUCCUUAGCUGGUCUGAGAGGAUGAUCAGCCACACUGGGACUGAGACACGGCCCAGACUCCUACGGGAGGCAGCAGUGGGGAAUAUUGGACAAUGGGCGAAAGCCUGAUCCAGCAAUGCCGCGUGAGUGAUGAAGGCCUUAGGGUUGUAAAGCUCUUUUACCCGGGAUGAUAAUGACAGUACCGGGAGAAUAAGCUCCGGCUAACUCCGUGCCAGCAGCCGCGGUAAUACGGAGGGAGCUAGCGUUAUUCGGAAUUACUGGGCGUAAAGCGCACGUAGGCGGCUUUGUAAGUAAGAGGUGAAAGCCCAGAGCUCAACUCUGGAAUUGCCUUUUAGACUGCAUCGCUUGAAUCAUGGAA
rnacentral:rRNA from 1 species